UACGUAGGGAGCAAGCGUUGUCCGGAAUCAUUGGGCGUAAAGCGCGCGUAGGCGGCCCUGUAAGUCCGUUGUGAAAGUCAAAGGCUCAACCUUUGAAAGCCGAUGGAUACUGCAGGGCUAGGGUCCGGAAGAGGCGAGUGGAAUUCCUGGUGUAGCGGUGGAAUGCGCAGAUAUCAGGAGGAACACCAAUAGCGAAGGCAGCUCGCUGGGACGGUACUGACGCUAAGGCGCGAAAGCGUGGGGAGCGAACAGG
rnacentral:rRNA from 1 species